GACGAACCGAGCGAACGUUAUUCGGAAUCACUGGGCUUAAAGGGUGCGUAGGCGGGCACGCGAGUCAGGGGUGAAAUCCCACGGCCCAACCGUGGAAGUGCCUCUGAUACCGCGGGCCUCGAGGGGGAUAGGGGCGUGCGGAACUUCCGGUGGAGCGGUGAAAUGCGUAGAUAUCGGAAGGAACACCGGUGGCGAAAGCGGCGCGCUGGAUCCCUACUGACGCUGAGACGCGAAAGCGUGGGGAGCGAACAGG
rnacentral:rRNA from 1 species